rnacentral:rRNA from 1 species
GACGAACUUUGGCGGCGUGCUUAACACAUGCAAGUCGAACGGAAAGGCCCUGCUUUUGUGGGGUGCUCGAGUGGCGAACGGGUGAGUAACACGUGAGUAACCUGCCCUUGACUUUGGGAUAACUUCAGGAAACUGGGGCUAAUACCGGAUAGGAGCUCCUGCUGCAUGGUGGGGGUUGGAAAGUUUCGGCGGUUGGGGAUGGACUCGCGGCUUAUCAGCUUGUUGGUGGGGUAGUGGCUUACCAAGGCUUUGACGGGUAGCCGGCCUGAGAGGGUGACCGGCCACAUUGGGACUGAGAUACGGCCCAGACUCCUACGGGAGGCAGCAGUGGGGAAUAUUGCACAAUGGGCGGAGGCCUGAUGCAGCAACGCCGCGUGCGGGAUGACGGCCUUCGGGUUGUAAACCGCUUUCGCCUGUGACGAAGCGUGAGUGACGGUAAUGGGUAAAGAAGCACCGGCUAACUACGUGCCAGCAGCCGCGGUGAUACGUAGGGUGCGAGCGUUGUCCGGAUUUAUUGGGCGUAAAGGGCUCGUAGGUGGUUGAUCGCGUCGGAAGUGUAAUCUUGGGGCUUAACCCUGAGCGUGCUUUCGAUACGGGUUGACUUGAGGAAGGUAGGGGAGAAUGGAAUUCCUGGUGGAGCGGUGGAAUGCGCAGAUAUCAGGAGGAACACCAGUGGCGAAGGCGGUUCUCUGGGCCUUUCCUGACGCUGAGGAGCGAAAGCGUGGGGAGCGAACAGGCUUAGAUACCCUGGUAGUCCACGCUGUAAACGGUGGGUACUAGGUGUGGGGUCCAUUCCACGGGUUCCGUGCCGUAGCUAACGCUUUAAGUACCCCGCCUGGGGAGUACGGCCGCAAGGCUAAAACUCAAAGGAAUUGACGGGGCCCCGCACAAGCGGCGGAGCAUGCGGAUUAAUUCGAUGCAACGCGUAGAACCUUACCUGGGUUUGACAUGGAUCGGGAGUGCUCAGAGAUGGGUGUGCCUCUUUUGGGGUCGGUUCACAGGUGGUGCAUGGCUGUCGUCAGCUCGUGUCGUGAGAUGUUGGGUUAAGUCCCGCAACGAGCGCAACCCUUGUUCACUGUUGCCAGCACGUUAUGGUGGGGACUCAGUGGAGACCGCCGGGGUCAACUCGGAGGAAGGUGGGGAUGACGUCAAGUCAUCAUGCCCCUUAUGUCCAGGGCUUCACGCAUGCUACAAUGGCUGGUACAGAGAGUGGCGAGCCUGUGAGGGUGAGCGAAUCUCGGAAAGCCGGUCUCAGUUCGGAUUGGGGUCUGCAACUCGACCUCAUGAAGUCGGAGUCGCUAGUAAUCGCAGAUCAGCAACGCUGCGGUGAAUACGUUCCCGGGGCU